ensembl:lncRNA novel transcript
ACACCAGCUAUCUCCUGCUCCCUGUCCUGCACUGCAAAGGAGGCCUUUUCAUCCUCUCUACUGCCUCCAAUUUUUCUCACGAGGAAUGUGAGAGGAAAACCUAAUGGGCAGAUGAAUCUCUGAACAAGACAGCUCAUGACACGGUUUAUUGGAGCCUUCCUCAAAACCCAUCCAAGAGAGCUUGUUCCUGAAGCAUGGUGCUAAGUCCAUAUGCAGCAGAUGGAGCUCAUGAGAAAAGAGUUGCUCUUGUGAAGACCAAAGCUUGUUUGUCAGUUUCAAAUACUCAUGUAUCUGAUUGUCAAUGCUGGAGAGCUGGGGCCAGGGCAGUAGUUGAUGAAUAUCACCUGACUGUCUCCUGCAGAAAAAGCAUUCCCAGAAGCACGGAGAAGUGAGGAGAAAAGGCAAUGCACCUGGAGCUGGAGACCAAGGCCCUGUUCUUACUGAUGGCCCUUGGAGCAGAUAUUUGAAUUGGAGAGAUAAAACCGUGGUUUUUGGGGUGUUAAUUUUGGUGGCUGAUGCAUUCUGUGAUUGAUUUGGCUAUUACAACUGGUAUUGAUUUUAAACACAUUAAUUGCAAAAUCUCAAUUGUGAUUUGAUUUCUGUAUUUACAAUACUAAAAACGAGGCUUUCGCCAGGAGAAGACAAUUGGCAGUACUCAGUUGGAAGUGCUUAAUUGUUAAUAUAUAUCAGCCGUGGUUCUUCAGCGUCGUCAGUGUUGCUCAGUCUUGCUCUUUGUGGCGACUACUGAAUGCUUGAAAAAUUCUCUCCUAUACUCCCACUCUGCACUGUAGAAGAGAAAGAGAGGAGAGUGGAAGAAAAAAGAGAGGGAGAGGAGAAAGAAAGAGAGGAGAGAGAAACAUGGGCAUGGAUGAUACAUAAGGUAGUUGUAAACUGUGAUCAGCUUUGAUAAUAACUAGAUAAAUUCUUUUAAUACAAAAAUAUAUAAGGCAUUUUGCCUUUUUUUCAAAUUUCAAAUAAAUGGAUUUGUAUAGAAUGUAGUCUGUUGCCCAGAGUUUUCAUUUAGCAUAAUGCAUUUGAGAUUUAUCCAUGUUGUUGUAUAUUCUUUUUAUUGCUGAGUAGUAUUCCAUUGUGUGGAUAUACCAGUUUGUUUAUCCAUUAACCUUUGAUGGAUAUUUGGGUUUUUUUCAAUAUGAGGCUCUUAUAAAUAAACCUUCUGUAAUCAGGUCUUUGUGUAGUCACACAGUUUGUUUGUUUGUUUGUUUUUUAAAAAGAUGUUAGUAUUGUAAUUGUGUUUAAUAAGAAACUGUUCAGUAUUUCUGCAUGUCUACCAAAAAUACAUGAAAUGUUAGUUGCUUCUUUUAAAAUACUUGGUAUGUUUUUGCUUUUUUAUUUUAGCAACUUAAUAUGUGUGUAUUAUAACCUCAUUGUGGUUUUAAAUUACAUUUUCCUCAGUAACUAAUAAUGCUGAGCAUCUUUUAAUGUAUUUAAUGGUCAUUCAUAUAUCUCCUCAUGAAAUGUCUGUUAAAAUUGUAUGCUCAUUUAGAAAAAUCAGGAUGAUUGUCUUGUUGAGCUUUGAAAGCUCUUUGCAUAUUAUGAAUACAAGUUCUUUAUUAGACAUACAUUUUACAAACAUUUUUUCCAGUCUUUUUCAUUAACUUAGCUUUUGGAGAGCAAAAAAA